rnacentral:tRNA from 2 species
AUCAAGGUGGCAGAUAGAUGUGUAAGAUUUAGGAUCUUAUUAGGAAAAAUUUUUCUCUUGGUA